CAUAUACUUAAAUUACUCAACUCUUCUUAAAUCAGAAGAAGUAAUGAGAACAGAGGUAGAAUAGAAGCUCUCAACUGCAAUUUGCCCUCCAGAUGCACAGUCUCCAUGACAACAUACGGCUGGGGAAUAGAAUGCAUUCACAACUAGAAGUCCACCUCUGCAAACAACGUUUUCUUGUCCUAAAACAUAAGUCAGAUGUCCA
rnacentral:lncRNA from 1 species